rnacentral:rRNA from 1 species
ACGAACGCUGGCGGCGUGCCUAAUACAUGCAAGUCGAACGAACUCUGGUAUUGAUUGGUGCUUGCAUCAUGAUUUACAUUUGAGUGAGUGGCGAACUGGUGAGUAACACGUGGGAAACCUGCCCAGAAGCGGGGGAUAACACCUGGAAACAGAUGCUAAUACCGCAUAACAACUUGGACCGCAUGGUCCGAGUUUGAAAGAUGGCUUCGGCUAUCACUUUUGGAUGGUCCCGCGGCGUAUUAGCUAGAUGGUGGGGUAACGGCUCACCAUGGCAAUGAUACGUAGCCGACCUGAGAGGGUAAUCGGCCACAUUGGGACUGAGACACGGCCCAAACUCCUACGGGAGGCAGCAGUAGGGAAUCUUCCACAAUGGACGAAAGUCUGAUGGAGCAACGCCGCGUGAGUGAAGAAGGGUUUCGGCUCGUAAAACUCUGUUGUUAAAGAAGAACAUAUCUGAGAGUAACUGUUCAGGUAUUGACGGUAUUUAACCAGAAAGCCACGGCUAACUACGUGCCAGCAGCCGCGGUAAUACGUAGGUGGCAAGCGUUGUCCGGAUUUAUUGGGCGUAAAGCGAGCGCAGGCGGUUUUUUAAGUCUGAUGUGAAAGCCUUCGGCUCAACCGAAGAAGUGCAUCGGAAACUGGGAAACUUGAGUGCAGAAGAGGACAGUGGAACUCCAUGUGUAGCGGUGAAAUGCGUAGAUAUAUGGAAGAACACCAGUGGCGAAGGCGGCUGUCUGGUCUGUAACUGACGCUGAGGCUCGAAAGUAUGGGUAGCAAACAGGAUUAGAUACCCUGGUAGUCCAUACCGUAAACGAUGAAUGCUAAGUGUUGGAGGGUUUCCGCCCUUCAGUGCUGCAGCUAACGCAUUAAGCAUUCCGCCUGGGGAGUACGGCCGCAAGGCUGAAACUCAAAGGAAUUGACGGGGGCCCGCACAAGCGGUGGAGCAUGUGGUUUAAUUCGAAGCUACGCGAAGAACCUUACCAGGUCUUGACAUACUAUGCAAAUCUAAGAGAUUAGACGUUCCCUUCGGGGACAUGGAUACAGGUGGUGCAUGGUUGUCGUCAGCUCGUGUCGUGAGAUGUUGGGUUAAGUCCCGCAACGAGCGCAACCCUUAUUAUCAGUUGCCAGCAUUAAGUUGGGCACUCUGGUGAGACUGCCGGUGACAAACCGGAGGAAGGUGGGGAUGACGUCAAAUCAUCAUGCCCCUUAUGACCUGGGCUACACACGUGCUACAAUGGAUGGUACAACGAGUUGCGAACUCGCGAGAGUAAGCUAAUCUCUUAAAGCCAUUCUCAGUUCGGAUUGUAGGCUGCAACUCGCCUACAUGAAGUCGGAAUCGCUAGUAAUCGCGGAUCAGCAUGCCGCGGUGAAUACGUUCCCGGGCCUUGUACACACCGCCCGUCACACCAUGAGAGUUUGUAACACCCAAAGUCGGUGGGGUAACCUUUUUAGGAACCAGCCGCCUAAGGUGGGACAGAUGAUUAGGGUG